rnacentral:lncRNA from 1 species
AAGUAGAUACAGGCAGGGGCAGGAACAGGAGCAGAGCAGAAGCCCAAAGAGACAGUUUAGGGGACAUAAAACAGCAAAAAUGGAUUUAAAGGAAAGCCCAGUCAUUCACACUUAGAAGAAUUCCUGGACUAACAAUUCUAAGCCAAGGCAGCUGCGGCAACGUUGAGGCAGAAUCAAAACCUGGGGAAAGACCUUAGGUAUUCAGGAACAAAACAAUCAGCAGGCGGGUCUGCGGCAUUCUAAGAACAGACACUGGCAGGAACAAAGGUUACAGAAGUGAAUGACUCUAAGAAUCAAGCAAGACAUGGAGUGGCAGAAAAUUAAAUUCUGAAUCCCUAAAAGACAUGAUGCAAAGAUGACCUCCUCUCCCAAGGACAUGUCCUCAUCCUGCGCUGACCGUGUGUGGUCAUUUCAGAAAAAGCGAACAAUGGAGAACCUGCUUGAAUGAUACUUAGACCUGGGACAACUGAAAGGAGUUGCACUUAUACAAUUCGGUGCAGUGGAGUCCCCUGGGAGGAGCCCCAGUCACACGGGAAGAGACAGUCACAGCUGUAAUAAAUGAUGGCUAGCAUGUAUCAAGCACUGGCCGAGUCCUCAGCAUACAUUACAUUACAGAAUUCAGUGUGCACCUCAACACUCUGGGGGUGUAUUUUAUAGGAGAACUGUGGCACAAAGAGGGGGUUUUGCAAUCCCAAGAAGAGUCAGCGUUUGAAUUUUGAAUUUAUGUGC